AGGUUAAAAUAUUAAGGGCACACGAAGGAUGCCUAGGAAGUAAGAGCCGAUGAAGGACGUGGUAAGCUGCGAUAAGCUUGGUGGAGUUGCAAUCGAACUGUGAUGCCAAGAUUUCCGAAUGGAGAAAUCUGCUAAGAUGGAGUCUUAGCACGAAAGAGGGAACCGGGUGAACUGAAACAUCUAAGUAACCCGAGGAAAAGAAAGUAAAAACGAUCCCCUAAGUAGCGGCGAGCGAACGGGGGUGAGCCCAAACCGUAGAUGUGCCAAGGAUGCAGCCGUUGCAUCUACGGGGUAGCGGGAAGAUCGUCUGAAGAACUGCAAGGUAUUCGACAUUAUGAUACGCCGAACUGGAAAGGUCUGGAAAGGUCUGCCGUAGAGAGUGAAAGCCUCGUACAGGUAAACCGUAUCAAAUGUAUGAUCUCUCCCAAGUAGCACGGAACACGAGGAAUUCUGUGUGAAUCUGCGAGGACCAUAUCUCGUAAGGCUAAAUACUCUUACUUACCGAUAGCGCAUAGUACCGUGAGGGAAAGGUGAAAAGAACCCCGGGAGGGGAGUGAAAUAGAACCUGAAAUCGUGUGCUUACAAGCGGUCAGAGCCCUUUGGGGUGAUGGCGUGCCUUUUGGAGAAUGAUCCUGCGAGUUACGUUCAGUGGCAAGGUUAAGUUUAACGGAGCCGAAGGGAAACCGAGUCUGAAUAGGGCGACAUAGUCGCUGGGCGUAGACGCGAAACCUGGUGAUCUAAGCCUGUCCAGGGUGAAGCUGUGGUAAGACACAGUGGAGGCCCGAACUCACCGCCGUUGAAAAGUUGGGAGAUGAGGUAGGUUUAGGGGUGAAAAGCCAAUCGAACCAGGAGAUAGCUCGUUCUCUCCGAAAUGCAUUUAGGUGCAGCCUUGAGUGUUCAAUUAUGGGGGUAGAGCACUGAAUGACCUAGGGGGCAUACUGCUUACCGAAGUCAAUCAAACUCCGAAUACCAUAAUUCUAGAGCUCAGGAGUGAGACUAUGGGAAUUAACUUCCAUGGUCAAAAGGGAAACAACCCAGACCACCAGCUAAGGUCCCUAAUUAUAACUAAGUGGGAAAGGAGGUGGAGAUUCACAAACAACCAGGAGGUUGGCUUAGAAGCAGCCAUACCUUUAAAGAGUGCGUAAUAGCUCACUGGUCGAGAGUCUCUGCGCCGACAAUGUAACGGGGCUAAGUUAUAAACCGAAGCUGUGGAGUUGCGUAAGCGACUGGUAGGAGAGCGUUCUGUAGGCCGUUGAAGGAGAAUCGA
rnacentral:rRNA from 1 species